rnacentral:lncRNA from 1 species
GGAUAAGCAAGGAUGGUGGAAUGUGAUGGACAUCAUUAUCCAGAAUACAUGUAUGAAGACUCAAAUUGGGUGUCAACAUACUUUAUAUACAAACAGAUAUGAAAAAUUGUGGUAUAUAUGUGUAAUAAGAAUUGUAGGGCUGGGGUUGUGGCUCAGCGGUAGAGUGCUUGCCUAGCAUGUGUGAGGCCCUGGGUUCGAUCCUCAGCACCACAUAAAAACAAAUAAAAAUAAAGUUAUUGUAUCCAUCUACAACUAAACAAAAUUUAAGAAAAGAAUUGUAAUGCAAAAAAAAAAAAAUACUAGUCAAGAGAGGGAAGCACCAUGAUAAAGCCCCUACAUAGGCAGCUGUGUGGAAGAGAAACCAAGAUCUGCUUUUUAAAACUGAACAUGUACCAGAGGGUGAACAUUCCCUGGAGACCUGUGGAGCAGGAUCAGGGAGAAGACAACCCUUGGUUUCAAGUCAGGACCUGCCUUGGAGAUGGCGAGGGUGGUUGUAGGAGGUGAUCAUAGACAACCCCUUAACUCUGGAUUCUGACUAGCAGGUUCCAGACAGCAGCCAGCUGCUUGUCCUUCGAUCCUGUCUUGGAAGAUUAGCUCACUGUUUUUUGUUCUGGGUCUUGGAAUAUUAAAGGUCAGAUAGCAGUACUUGGGAUCAAAUAAGUUGACAAAC